UGGGGAAUUUUGGACAAUGGGCGAAAGCCUGAUCCAGCAAUGCCGCGUGUGUGAAGAAGGCCUUCGGGUUGUAAAGCACUUUUGUCCGGAAAGAAAUCCUUGGCUCUAAUACAGUCGGGGGAUGACGGUACCGGAAGAAUAAGCACCGGCUAACUACGUGCCAGCAGCCGCGGUAAUACGUAGGGUGCAAGCGUUAAUCGGAAUUACUGGGCGUAAAGCGUGCGCAGGCGGUUUGCUAAGACCGAUGUGAAAUCCCGGGCUCAACCUGGGAACUGCAUUGGUGACUGGCAGGCUAGAGUAUGGCAGAGGGGGGUAGAAUUCCAUGUGUAGCAGUGAAAUGCGUAGAGAUGUGGAGGAAUACCGAUGGCGAAGGCAGCCCCCUGGGCCAAUACUGACGCUCAUGCACGAAAGCGUGGGGAGCAAACAGGAUUAGAUACCCUGGUAGUCCACGCCCUAAACGAUGUCAACUAGUUGUUGGGGAUUCAUUUCCUUAGUAACGUAGCUAACGCGUGAAGUUGACCGCCUGGGGAGUACGGUCGCAAGAUUAAAACUCAAAUGAAUUGACGGGGUCAUAGCUG
rnacentral:rRNA from 1 species